UGGCUUCUGGAGUCUUCUAGAUGAUAGGAAUUUUCGUGGCACGUUAAUAUCUCUAUGUAAACCCGACGUGUGGGCCUUUUCUCCGUAAUUCUUGAUAACCCCUACAGAAAUAAACAAACACCAAAACUCGUGGAAUUCUGUCAGAUAAACCGUAAGUCUGGGUGUUAGUUGCAUUUAGAUCCUUUUCCAUGAUUAGUUGAUGGUUAAAUGUGAGCAUUUAGGACCGUCAACAAACUCCCCCAAGCUUAACCUUUGCUCGUCCCUGAGCAAAGAUGGACUCAAGAGUUUCUGUAGUGGUUUCAUGCCUUAAAGGUACACAUGCGUUCAAACAAGAUCUCAUCUCUGGGUUAGGGUAAACUGUUAAGAUUUAAACUUACUCAUUUUACCUUCCAUGUGAGAGCUUAUAAUGAGGGUUCAUAGCAAACUUUAUUUAUUUAUUUAUUUAGCAAACUAAGCAAAGAUAUAUAUAAGCACAAAAUCUUUAUUUGGGUUUUUAUGAUUAUGCAACUUUUUAUUAUUUGAGUAAAGUAUAAACGUGAGUAGAACACUUAGCUGGAUAAAUGGGGGUGCUCUCCCCCAAGCUGGAUUUUGACGUAAUUUCUUGUGAUGUAGCUAGCAGGUGGCAGAGGUGUAUUUAAAUGUCGGCAGCACCCUGACAGCGACUAGGAUGUCCUCCCUCUGCUAGUCUUCUUUGAUCCUUGAAUUCUGUGAAGCUCAAAUAGACAACAAAGCUUUGUGGAACUAGUCAAGUGUUAGCAUAAGUAUCUACCCGUUAUCAUGUUGAGCCUCCUCAAUAAAUGUUACUCUCUUUAGUAGGAUCACAGAUUUAUUUUUAUAUUUUCAUUUUUAUAGGAUAGGAAUAUAUUUAUUUUAUUUUUACGCCACCACAGGGAAUGUACUUAUGGGUUUUAUGCCACGAGCAUAUUCACAUGGGGCUUACUAUUUUUAACAUUUUUAUUUUCUUUUCAAGAUGAUAUGAACCUGAUUAACUAAGCAAACUAUUUUAAAUAAUUGAAAGGAAAAGGAUAACUACCAAGUUUACCUCUUGGCAAGGCGAUCGGGGUUUUUAAGUCCUCCGAACGGGACUCUCUGUUUUCUCAGUCGUCCUGGGAUUCGCUGGAUGGCGUAGCCGGUGGUUCCGGCGGCGCCUCCUCUUCGUGUAUAACUAUCUUCUCUCUCCACACCUGACUCGGUGCUAUGGUCUCCUCAGGAUAGUUCUGUUCAAGCUGUAUGUCUUCAGACCUUACCACUUCUUCUUUGUAGUCUACCCAUCCGUCCUUGAUGAUUUGCCUUCUCUGGUUGUGGUUGCGUCGUCUUCUUCUUGUCCUGACGUGCUUAGAGUCUUAAACUAUACAGUUAAGGUGAGUAAAAUAGCGGCGUACCUUCUCAGAGGGGAAGUGCAUGUGGACCUCUCCGGUUCCAAUGUAGAUGAUUGCUUUAACGGUGCUGAGGAACGGUCUCUCAAUGAUGAUGGGUGGAUCGUACUCGUCUUCUCCCAUGUCAAUAACCUUCAACCUUUCAGAAUGUUUGAUCUGCCAUCUGGAGCUGGGUCGUCCUUUUUGGUCAGGAACGGUGACUUAAAUCGACGAUCUUGACCUCCUUGAACUACAGUGACUAUCUUACCUGACUUGGUCCACAUUUGCUUAUUCCUGUUCCUCCUGUUGGUUCUCUUCCUUGGUUCAUGUUGGGAUUGCUUUGGGAUUUGUGUAGUCUUGUUCUUGAAGGAAAAUGUCUCCUUCCUCCCUUUGAUGUAGAAACUGAUCUUGGCAGCACUAGCAUAGAUGACAGCUCCCGAGGUGUUCAGGAAUGGCCUCCCUAAGAUGACGGGUGCAGUCUCAUCACUAGCAGUCUCUAUCACCACGAUGUCUGCUGGAGCGUAUAUGGUACCAACUCGGACGUAUAGGUUCUUCAAUAUUCCCUUUGGGAAACUUAGUGUCCGAUCUUGUGGCAGAACCUCCUGAAUUAAGUGGCCCACAUGCACCCAUCAUUGUCUCAAAGACUUCUGAUCGGCCUGCAUGAGUUCCAAAUGACUCAAUAAAUCUGUCGGGUGUCCUUGGGAAACCCGAACCAUCCACGUUACAUUCUUUCUAGGAAUUCCCUCAUUAAGCAUCACAGUAUUACAACAUUUUCAUAGAUAAGAUAAAUCAGAGUAAAAGCGGAAAGGUUAUAUAACAUAGAUUGAAACUUAAGUUCAAAGGUUACAAACCAUAAGUAUUUAGUACAUAAAA
rnacentral:lncRNA from 1 species